GUAAUUCAGGGGCAUGUAAUUUAGGGGCAGGUAAUUCAGGUGUAUGUAAUUCAGGUGCAGGUAAUUCAGGGGCAUGUAAUUCAGAUGAAAGGUAAUUCAGGGGCAUGUCAUUCACGGGCAGGCAAUUCAGGGGCUGGUAAUUUAGGGAUAGAUAAUUCAGAGGCAUGUCAUUCAGGGGCAGGUCAUUCAGGGUCAUGUAAUUUAGGGGCAGGUACUUCAGGGGCAGGUAAUUCAGGGGCAGGUAAUCUAGGUGCAGGUAUUUCAGGGGCAUGUCAUUCCGGGGCAGGUAAUUCAGGGGCAUGUAAUUUAGGGGCAGGUAAUUCAGGUGUAUGUAAUUCAGGUGCAGGUUAUUCAGGGACUCAGGGGUAGAUAAUUCAGGGGCAUGUAAUUCAGGUGUAUGUAAAUCAGGGGCAUUUAAAUCAGUUGCAUGCAAUUCAGGGGCAUGUCAUUCAGGGGCAUGUCAUUCUGGGAAGGUAAUUCAGGGGCAGGUAAUUCAGGGCUAGGUAAUCCAGGGGCAGGUAAUUCAGGGGCAUGUAAUUGAGGGGCAUGUAAUUCAGGUGUAUGUAAUUCAGGUGUAUGUUAUUCAGGGGCAGGUUAUUCAGGUAUAGGUUAUUCAGGGGCAGGUAAUCCAGAUCUAACUAAUUAAGGGGCAUGUCAUUCAGGGGCAUGUAAUUUAGGGGCAGGUAAUUCACGGGCAUGUAAUUCAGGUGUAUGUAAUUUAUGGGAA